AACGAACGCUGGCGGCAGGCUUAACACAUGCAAGUCGAGCGCCCCGCAAGGGGAGCGGCAGACGGGUGAGUAACGCGUGGGAACGUACCCUUUGCUACGGAAUAGCUCCGGGAAACUGGAAUUAAUACCGUAUGUGCCCUACGGGGGAAAGAUUUAUCGGCAAAGGAUCGGCCCGCGUUGGAUUAGCUAGUUGGUGGGGUAAUGGCCUACCAAGGCGACGAUCCAUAGCGGGUCUGAGAGGAUGAUCAGCCACAUUGGGACUGAGACACGGCCCAAACUCCUACGGGAGGCAGCAGUGGGGAAUAUUGGACAAUGGGCGCAAGCCUGAUCCAGCCAUGCCGCGUGAGUGAUGAAGGCCUUAGGGUUGUAAAGCUCUUUCACCGGAGAAGAUAAUGACGGUAUCCGGAGAAGAAGCCCCGGCUAACUUCGUGCCAGCCGCCGCAGUAAAAC
rnacentral:rRNA from 1 species